UACGUAGGUGGCAAGCGUUGUCCGGAAUUAUUGGGCGUAAAGCGCGCGCAGGCGGUCCUUUAAGUCUGAUGUGAAAGCCCUCGGCUCAACCGAGGAGGGUCAUUGGAAACUGGGGAACUUGAGUGCAGAAGAGGAAAGUGGAAUUCCAAGUGUAGCGGUGAAAUGCGUAGAGAUUUGGAGGAACACCAGUGGCGAAGGCGACUUUCUGGUCUGUAACUGACACUGAGGCGCGAAAGCGUGGGGAGCGAACAGG
rnacentral:rRNA from 1 species